rnacentral:rRNA from 1 species
UACGUAGGGUGCAAGCGUUAAUCGGAAUUACUGGGCGUAAAGCGUGCGCAGGCGGCUUUGCAAGACAGAUGUGAAAUGCCCGGGCUUAACCUGGGAACUGCAUUUGUGACUGCAUGGCUAGAGUUUGGCAGAGGGGGGUAGAAUUCCACGUGUAGCAGUGAAAUGCGUAGAGAUGUGGAGGAAUACCGAUGGCGAAGGCAGCCCCCUGGGAUGACACUGACGCUCAUGCACGAAAGCGUGGGGAGCAAACAGG